AGGACUAACGCUGGCGGCGUGCCUAACACAUGCAAGUCGAGCGGGGUAGCAAUACCCAGCGGCAGACGGGUGAGUAACGCGUAAAUAACGUGCCCCUUUGUUUGGGAUAGCUGGCCGAAAGGCCAGGUAAUACCGGAUAUGGUCCCCGAGAGACAUCUCUUGGGGAAGAAAGCAGCAAUGCGCAAGGGGAUCGGUUUGCGACCUAUCAGCUAGUUGGCGAGGUAACGGCUCACCAAGGCUUCGACGGGUAGCCGGUCUGAGAGGAUGAUCGGCCACACUGGCACUGAGAUACGGGCCAGACUCCUACGGGAGGCAGCAGUGAGGAAUUUUGCGCAAUGGGCGAAAGCCUGACGCAGCGACGCCGCGUGAGGGAUGAAGGUCUUCGGAUCGUAAACCUCUGUCAGUGGGGAAGAGAACGGACGGUACCCGCUGAGGAAGCUUCGGCUAACUACGUGCCAGCAGCCGCGGUAA
rnacentral:rRNA from 1 species